rnacentral:rRNA from 1 species
AUGGCCGAAUGCUUCAAUAAGGUGCUCAAAGGUGCACGUGGAUUACCCGUGACGGCAAUAAUUCAAUACACAUUUGACAAGAUGAAUGCGUACUUUCUAAAGUACUCGAUGGAAACGGAUGCACAGAUAGCGGGUGAGAACAAGCGCAAGUACAAGUACAAGUUCCCACCCAAGGUUGAUGAAUGGUUGGAAUUUCAAUCACGGAAGGCGGACUUAGAAGAAGCUAUACUAUAUGACAACGAAGAGUGGAAGUACGAAGUGAAAGAGCUAGGAGGAACCACAAACGAUGGCCGCCAACAUGGAGGUCGGGCUUUCAAGGUGUCGUUAACACGUUGUGAUUGCUCUUGCGGGAGGCCAUUGUUGCUUCAUCUCCCAUGCUCACACUUGUAUACCGCCGGUCGCGUUAGGAAUGUGGACAUCAAUCACCCCCUCACCGUGAGGGAGUCGGAGUUCUCAAUCAUGACGUUCAAGAAAACAUGGGCUCCCCGCUUUUACCCAUACUUUGACCAAUCACAAUGGCCAGAGUACCAUGGAGUUCAACUAUGGCCGGAUCCG